rnacentral:rRNA from 1 species
AAGUACCUUCUGAGAAAUCAAAUUCUUUAGGUUCUGGGGAGUAUUAUCGCAAAACUUAAACUUAAAGGAAUUGACGGAAGGGCGGCACAUAUGUUAAACAGUAACGCAGGUGUCCUAUGGCAAAAUCAAAGAGAACAAAAUCUUUUAUAGACCAAAAGGGAAAAAGCUUGCUUUAUUUUGAUUCUCAGUGCGAGUGCAAACCGCGAAAGCGUGGCCUAUCGACCCUUUACUUUUUAAAAGUCAUUAGCCAGUUGCAUCAGAAAAAUUGCCACAUGGAGAACUGGCUUGUGUCAGCCAAGCGUUUAUAGCGACGUUGCUUGCUGAUUCUCCGAUGUCAACUCUUCCUAUCAUUGUGAAGCAGAAUUCACCAAAUGUCGGAUUGUUCACCCGCUAAUAGGGAAUUUGGGCUGAGUUAGAACUUCGUGAGACAGAUUAGUUUUACCCUACUGAUAAACUGAUAUAGCUACAGUAAUCCAACUCAGUACAAGGGGAGCUGUUGGGUCAGAUCACUGGUUCAUGCGAUUUCCUGACAAGUAGGCGUUGCGAUGCUACUAUCUGUUCCAUUAUGGCUAAAUGCCUCUAAGUCAGAGUCAAUACUGAAAUGCGAAGUCCACCAGUCACCUAUGGAAACCUAUCCAGGGGAAAUGAUGAAGACGGCUUCUCAAAGCUUUAGUUUACAUGAGUUAUUGUUUUACCCUUUGUUUUGUGGAUGUUUUGCUAAUAAUUGGUUAACAUAAAGGAAAUUUUGUAGUUAAGUAUUUA